rnacentral:rRNA from 1 species
GACGAACGCUGGCGGCGUGCCUAAUACAUGCAAGUCGAACGCUUCUUUCCUCCCGAGUGCUUGCACUCAAUUGGAAGGAGGAGUGGCGGACGGGUGAGUAACACGUGGGAAACCUACCCAUCAGAGGGGGAUAACACUUGGAAACAGGUGCUAAUACCGCAUAACAGUUUAUGCCGCAUGGCAUAAGAGUGAAAGGCGCUUUCGGGUGUCGUUGAUGGAUGGACCCGCGGUGCAUUAGCUAGUUGGUGAGGUAACGGCUCACCAAGGCCACGAUGCAUAGCCGACCUGAGAGGGUGAUCGGCCACACUGGGACUGAGACACGGCCCAGACUCCUACGGGAGGCAGCAGUAGGGAAUCUUCGGCAAUGGACGAAAGUCUGACCGAGCAACGCCGCGUGAGUGAAGAAGGUUUUCGGAUCGUAAAACUCUGUUGUUAGAGAAGAACAAGGACGUUAGUAACUGAACGUCCCCUGACGGUAUCUAACCAGAAAGCCACGGCUAACUACGUG